GAGAGGGUGACUGAUCGUGGGGAGGAAGCGUGGAGCGAAACUGCGAGCCGAUGGACAAGAACUGGAUAGAAGGCGUGGUUGACCAGGGCAAGCGGGCCAAAAACCGCAAAGCUCUCGUGAUCAAGGGGCAACGACGUAGAUCCGGCGGUUGUGCAGUGAAGGAGUGCGUUC
rnacentral:ncRNA from 1 species